UUAGUUGUUUUUGUUUUUAUUAAAGUAUCAUAUUGAAGUAGAAAGAUGGUUUUGAGUUUGAAAAGCUCCAGAUAAAUCCUUGGAUUUUUAUGAGCCUAAAUUUCCUUUUCUGUAAAAUGAGAACCACAUAGGGUUUUUUCCUCCCCAAGAAAUUAAGAGUCCAUGUACUGAAAGCAUCAUUCUACAAGCAUUAAUACAUAUGUAGUAAUCAUGGUAGAGGGUGUCCUGAAGUCACAAGGGGAAUAUUUGUGAGGAUUCAACGGAAUAAAAUUUUAAAAGAUGUCUGACCAAUAGUAAGCACUCAAUACAUGUUAGCUUUAUUCUCUCUUUUAUUUUUCUCACUUCUUUUCUCCUGCUCUUCAAAAAAGUGAGUGGUUGAACCACCUAGGUGAUCUCUGCUGCUAAACUUCUAUUAUUGAUUUUUGUUUGCUUCCUCUCUGCCCCUUAUUCCCUCAU
rnacentral:antisense_RNA from 1 species